rnacentral:lncRNA from 1 species
CCAUCCUCAGUGUUUUAUAUGCUUGAUAAAACUGAAAUAUUAAAUAUGAUUAUAAAGGCUAUCUGCUCUGUAUUGAGUUUGUUCAAAAUGAGUUAGACCCUUGUUGAGAGAUUUAUCAUGCUCCCAAGAUCAAGACACUAUUUCAGUAGGAUUCACUCUUCCGAAGUAUUAUUGCAUUAGAGGCAUGGGCUAUGCAAAAAUAGAGAUAUUUCGAGGAAAUAAAAAGGAGCAAGUGCUCGACAACCUCGCAGAAAAAAUGGACAAGUGUCCGGCAGUAGAAUUAGGGGUACCUCGGUAUCCACUUAAAAAAAAUGAUAGCCCAUGGUCCCUCUAAUAAGCAAUAUGCCAGCAAGAGUUGACAAAGUUUUUAAUUUCCAAAGUCUUUGAUCUAAGAGUAUGACAUUCCCCUCCUCGGAUCCCGUUUUGAUCAGGCAAUAAAUGCAAAGUGAGUAUGCUUAAGAAUUUUUGCAAAAUAAAACAACCUCAGUGAGAUAUAUAUACAAAAGAUAAUGAGUGAUCUGAGAGAACCUAUGAGGAUAAAAAGGUAUGCUAACUUUCUUUUAAAAAUAUACAAAAACUCCAAGUGACAGGAUUGAGAAGAAAGGAUCUUUACUCCUAAUCAUAUACUUCCCUCACUAUGGUACACAGUGGAAUUUUAAACACCCUGCAAUUAUAUAAAGAGAAUGUUUUAAAUGUUUACCCCAGAUAUUGUUCUCAACCAUCCUUUUCUCGAGGACGAGUAAAAGCCUAAGUAUGGGGGUAUUUGUUGACGGUUCUUAAGUAUCAAUUUUAAUUAUCAAAUAAACAAGAGAAAGGGCCAAUAUGCAACCAUCACAUAGAAUUAGGGUUUGAUCUGACAGAAUUCCACGAGUUUUGUUGUUUAUCUAUUUCUGCAGGGGGUUAUCAGGAAAUAAGGAAGAAAGGCCCACAUGUCGGGAUUACAUAGAGAUAUCAACGCACCGCGCAAUUUUACAUCAUCUAGAAGACUCCAGAAGCCACGAGACCGAAGCGGAGGCGAAACUGGGCCAGGCCCAGGGCGCCCGCCCUGGAAGCCUGGGCGCCCGCCCCCCUUUUGGAGCCAAUUCAGGACUCCUUCGCUCGGGAUAUUCCACCGACCUAUUGGAUCAAGAAAAACAUAGUGCCACCUCGGCUAUCGACCCAAAAAACGCAUAGAAGGGGAGGACUAUAUAAGCGAGGCCCCCCUGGCCCCUGGAAGACAUGAAGAAAUUAUCAUAGAGACUGAGGGGUGCCCUCGAAGGAAAACCUCUUCUCUAAUUAAUAUUUCUUUUUAGGCUUAGCAAUCAAUGUAAGGUAGAAAUAGAUCUUCUAGUUUCUACUAGAUUGAGAGAGAUAGAGUGGAGGUGUAGAGUGGAGGAAGCCCGGCCUGUCGGUGUCUACUCCAAGCUUGUACCUGCGGGAUCAAGUUCUCCUAACCCGAAGCUUGCUCCUAGGAUUCUUCAGUAACUCGACUUCUAAAUUCUAGUAAGUUCUUGUUUUAUUGUUCUUAUGGUUUAUGAGUUUACUUUAAUCUCUUCGCGUAGAGUUUAGAGUAAUCAUUGCUGGCGUAAACGUGGUGUUUAGGCUGGGGUACUCAUAGAUAUUCCCUGACUAGCUGUACCAUGGUAGUAGUGAGGAACGUGACAUUUCCGAGCUACCUUUGUAGAUCACAUCUCGUUAGCAGGAAGGAUAGGGUUUAUAGGUGCGGGUCGAACAUCCUUUGUGGUGUCUAGAUUCCGUUAGCCUCCCCAUUAGAACAGUAGAUCAUCCUUACCAAGGUUAGAAGGAGACUACGGUUGCAGUCUUCUCUAUUUAUCACUCACAUCGAAAGACAUUCUUUGUGCCUAAAGGUUAGUAGUAAUAGACCGGUUAGUCAGAUGCACUCUUUCUCCUAGUGGUAAAAAAAAAUACGAUACUCUGGAUAAUUUCCCGGGUGAAGUGCUCACCGAUAUCCGUGCGCUUGCGGAUCAAUUCCUUAUUGCGUUCCCAAAUAUCAACAACCCCUAUUACUAAAAAAAGAAAGAGUUCAAAAAAAAGUCAGAAAAAAAUUCAGAGAAAAGAAAAGAGAAAGAAUAGAAAAAAAAGUAGAAGAACAGGAAAGGGGCUGUAUUGCGGUUUGCUCACUGAAAAAUUCAGUUUACAUAUUCAGAUUCUUGGUGAUCUAUAUGCCAGCAAUAUUAUAUCUUUUGAGCACAACAAACCACUUGACUUUCAGUACCAUAGCCUUCCUUGUUUAGCCACCUAUAGCUCCACCAAAAAACUGAAAUCAGGACAUUCGACUUGUAAUCCUUGCGACCUCGGAAUCACUUCUAUUAAGCUGCUACACUAGCACAAUUCACUGUCCUUGAGAACAGGAAAGAGCAUUGGUAAGUAAGAGGUGUCGACGAAAGCUGGUCGGCAGUCUACCUUGGGGUAUACCCACGGUAGUAGUUUAUCGGUAGACGGUGCGCAAGCUACGAACUCGAUGGUGACGCAAGACACGGACAAGCUUUUUAUCCAGGUUCGGCCGCCGUGUGGGCGUAAUACCUACGUCCUGCACCUUGUCGUAUUGAUUUGUGUUAAGAGAAUAAUGUGUCCUAGGGGGCUUAUAUAGUCCGGAGGGCAAGGUUACAGAUCCGGAAACUAAUCCUAGUCGGUUACAAUUGCCAUAGGUAGUUCGAUAUCAAUUCCUACUCUAACAGACUAGAAUCUGGCAUGAUCUCCGCGUCUUGUUUCCUUGCAUGAGACUC